rnacentral:rRNA from 1 species
AGAGUUUGAUCAUGGCUCAGGAUGAACGCUAGCUACAGGCUUAACACAUGCAAGUCGAGGGGAAACGACACCGAAAGCUUGCUUUUGAUGGGCGUCGACCGGCGCACGGGUGAGUAACGCGUAUCCAACCUGCCCACCACUUGGGGAUAACCUUGCGAAAGUAAGACUAAUACCCAAUGACGUCUCUAGAAGACAUCUGAAAGAGAUUAAAGAUUUAUCGGUGAUGGAUGGGGAUGCGUCUGAUUAGCUUGUUGGCGGGGUAACGGCCACAAGGCGACGAUCAGGUAGGGGUUCUGAGAGGAACGGUCCCCACAUUGGAACUGAGACACGGUCCAAACUCCGUACGGGAGCA